rnacentral:rRNA from 4 species
CCUGGUUAUCAAAAACAUUUUUCCUUCUUCAGGGGAUAAGCUCUGCUCAGUGAUUUAAAUAGCCGCAGUAUUUUAACUGUGCUAAGGUAGCAUAAUAACUUGUUCUAUAAUUGAGGACUGGAAUGAAUGAGUUAAUGAUUUUUUUCUAUUUUCUUUUUUCUUUGAAAUUUAUAUUUAAGUUAAAAAGCUUAACUUUUUAAAAAGACGACAAGACCCUGUAAAACUUAAUUAAAAUUUUUAUAGAUUUAAAAAGAAAAUUUUUAAAUUAUUAGUUAAGCUGGGGCGGCAGGUGAAGAACAACUAAAAAAAAUAACAUUAUUUACGGCGAGAAAGAUCUUGGAAAGAUUUAGAAAAAGUUACUUCAGGGAUAACAGCGUUAUUUUUUUGUAAAGAUCUUAUUUAUAGAAAGGACUUGCGACCUCGAUGUUGAAUUGAAGAGCCUAGAGAGAGUAGAAGAUUUUUAAGGAAGUCUGUUCCGACUUUUAAUUCUUCACGUGAUCUGAGUCAGACCG